rnacentral:rRNA from 1 species
UACGUAGGGGGCAAGCGUUGUCCGGAAUCAUUGGGCGUAAAGAGCGUGUAGGCGGCUCGAUAAGUCUGCUGUGAAAAGUCCAGGGCUCAACCCUGGAAGGCCGGUGGAAACUGUCGGGCUAGAGUCCGGAAGAGGCGAGUGGAAUUCCCGGUGUAGCGGUGAAAUGCGCAGAUAUCGGGAGGAACACCAAUGGCGAAGGCAACUCGCUGGGACGGUACUGACGCUGAGACGCGAAAGCGUGGGGAGCAAACAGGG